GACGAACGCUGGCGGCGUGCUUAACACAUGCAAGUCGAACGGAAAGGCCCCUUUGGGGGUCCUCGAGUGGCGCACGGGUGAGUAACACGUGAGUAACCUGCCCUUGACUUCGGGAUAACUUCAGGAAACUGGGGCUAAUACCGGAUAGGAAUCCUUGCUGCAUGGUGGGGGUUGGAAAGCUUCGGCGGUUUUGGAUGGACUCGCGGCUUAUCAGCUUGUUGGUGGGGUAGUGGCUUACCAAGGCUUUGACGGGUAGCCGGCCUGAGAGGGCGACCGGCCACAGUGGGACUGAGAUACGGCCCAGACUCCUACGGGAGGCAGCAGUGGGGAAUAUUGCACAAUGGGCGGAAGCCUGAUGCAGCAACGCCGCGGGCGGGAUGACGGCCUUCGGGUUGUAAACCGCUUUCAGCAGGGGCGAAGCUUGUGGUGACGGUACCUGCAGAAGAAGCACCGGCUAACUACGUG
rnacentral:rRNA from 1 species